rnacentral:rRNA from 1 species
UACGGGGGGGGCAAGCGUUGUUCGGAAUUACUGGGCGUAAAGGGCGCGUAGGCGGUUUGAUAAGUCGGUUGUGAAAACUCUGGGCUUAACUCAGAGCCUGCAUCCAAAACUAGCAGACUAGAGUUCUGGAGGGGAUAGCGGAAUUCCUGGUGUAGCGGUGAAAUGCGUAGAUAUCAGGAGGAACACCGGUGGCGAAGGCGGAUAUCUGGACAGAGUCUGACGCUGAGGCGCGAAAGCUAGGGGAGCAAACAGG